rnacentral:rRNA from 1 species
AUUCAGGCCUAACACAUGCAAGUCGAGCGGCAGCGCGGGUAGUUUACUACCUGGCGGCGAGCGGCGGACGGCUGAGUAACACGUGGGAACAUACCCCAAAGUGAGGGAUAACUGCCCGAAAGGGUGGCUAAUACCGCAUAUGGUCUUCGGAUUAAAGGAUUUAUCCGCUUUGGGAAUGGCCUGCGUACGAUUAGUUAGUUGGUGAGGUAACGGCUCACCAAGACGAUGAUGGGUAGGGGUCCUGAGAGGGAGAUCCCCCACACUGGUACUGAGACACGGACCAGACUCCUACGGGAGGCAGCAGUGAGGAAUAUUGGUCAAUGGGCGCAAGCCUGAACCAGCCAUGCCGCGUGCAGGACGACGGCCCUAUGGGUUGUAAACUGCUUUUGUACGGGAAGAAACACCCCCUCGUGAGGGGGCUUGACGGUACCGUAAGAAUAAGGAUCGGCUAACUCCGUGCCAGCAGCCGCGGUAAUACGGAGGAUCCAAGCGUUAUCCGGAAUCAUUGGGUUUAAAGGGUCCGUAGGCGGGCCUGUAAGUCAGUGGUGAAAUCUCCCCGCUCAACGGGGAAACGGCCAUUGAUACUGCAGGCCUUGAAUUAUUAGGAAGUAACUAGAAUAUGUAGUGUAGCGGUGAAAUGCUUAGAGAUUACAUGGAGUACCGAUUGCGAAGGCAGGUUACUACUGAUUGAUUGACGCUGAUGGACGAAAGCGUGGGGAGCGAACAGGAUUAGAUACCCUGGUAGUCCACGCCGUAAACGAUGGAUACUAGCUGUCCGGGCGCAAGNCUGGGUGGCUAAGCGAAAGUGAUAAGUAUCCCACCUGGGGAGUACGGGCGCAAGCCUGAAACUCAAAGGAAUUGACGGGGGCCCGCACAAGCGGUGGAGCAUGUGGUUUAAUUCGAUGAUACGCGAGGAACCUUACCAGGGCUUAAAUGGGGAGCGACAGCUGCGGAAACGUGGCCUUCUUCGGACGCUCUUCAAGGUGCUGCAUGGUUGUCGUCAGCUCGUGCCGUGAGGUGUCAGGUUAAGUCCUAUAACGAGCGCAACCCCUGUUGCUAGUUGCCAGCGAGUCAAGUCGGGAACUCUAGCAAGACUGCCGGUGCAAACCGCGAGGAAGGUGGGGAUGACGUCAAAUCAUCACGGCCCUUACGCCCUGGGCUACACACGUGCUACAAUGGCCGGUACAGAGAGCAGCCACUGCGCGAGCAGGAGCGAAUCUACAAAACCGGUCUCAGUUCGGAUCGGGGUCUGCAACUCGACCCCGUGAAGCUGGAAUCGCUAGUAAUCGGAUAUCAGCCAUGAUCCGGUGAAUACGUUCCCGGGCCUUGUACACACCGCCCGUCAAGCCAUGGAAGCUGGGGGUGCCUGAAGUCGGUGACCGCAAGGAGCUGCCUAGGGUAAAACCGGUAACUAGGGCUAAG